ensembl:rRNA 5S_rRNA 5S ribosomal RNA
AGCCACAGCCAAAUCACCCUGCAGCCCAAGACCGGUUACUGACUGUUGCUAAGCAGGGCUGAGCCAGGUCAGUACCUGGAUGGGAGAGCACAUGGGAAAACCAGGUUGCUGUUGGAA